rnacentral:rRNA from 1 species
UACAGAGGGUGCGAGCGUUGUCCGGAAUCACUGGGCGUAAAGGGCGCGUAGGCGGCCUGCUAAGUAGAGGGUGAAAUCCUGCGGCUCAACCGCAGGGCUGCCUUCUAAACUGUCAGGCUGGAGCACGGUAGAGGCAGGUGGAAUUCCCGGUGUAGCGGUGGAAUGCGUAGAGAUCGGGAAGAACAUCAGUGGCGAAGGCGGCCUGCUGGGCUGUUGCUGACGCUGAGGCGCGACAGCGUGGGGAGCAAACAGG